GGAGGUAUGGCUCAGUGGUAGAGCAUUCAACUGCAGGUCGAGAGGUCCCCGGUUCAAACCCGCGUAUCCUCU